CUUUCGUUUGGGUUUAUUAUCAUGUCAGAUCGGCUAGAUGCACAGAAUGCGGGAAAACAAUUAAAGACACCAGAACGACAUCAUCAAAUUUUAUGAGACAUCGCAUCCACAAAGUCCAGGGAGGGCCGUCCCAGUCAGGCAGGCUGUGAAUAUUCAUGAUCAGGAGUGAGCUGCAGUGGAGGUUGGUCUGUGAAGGUGUUGAGUUAUUCAUCAUUCUUCAGUAGAAGAGACACGGGAGUCGUCCCUCAGUGCUGGAAUAUUAACGAGCCACAUUAAUAAAAUAUCCACCCUCUCUUU